rnacentral:snRNA from 1 species
AUACUUAGCUGGUGGGGCAGAUACCAUGACCAUGAAGGUGUUGUUCCCAGGGCGAGGCUUAUCCAUUGUGCUCCAGAUGUGCCGACCCCUGCGAUUUCCCCACAUGUGGGAAACGCGACUGCAUAAUUUGUGGCAGUGGGGGACUGCAUCACAAGUCCACAAUUUCCCCUG